rnacentral:rRNA from 1 species
GAACCUGCGGAGGGAUCAUUG